rnacentral:lncRNA from 1 species
AGGGAGAGGACCAUUCCCAGAAUCCAGCAGGGGUAGCCCCCAAAGCCCUGUGCUGAGACUUUAGUGGAACAAACUUCAGAGGACCAGGCCUGAGACGGGCGCUUCUUCCUGGUUCUGCCAUUUGGUCUGUGGCCUGGGCAAGUCAUUUGCCUUUCUGAGCCUUGUUUUUUAUUCGCCUGUACAGUGAUGUUCAAACCUCGCGGCUGUCCACGGCUAAAUGGGGUCAGCAGUGACGGGUGGAUGGCAGGACCCCCUCAGGUCUCUGCAAGAAGAAAGGGAGAGGAGGGGCCGCCCCCCAGCCCUGCUGCUGUCUGGGGUGGAACCCUUGAGGCAGGCAGGUCAGCACCUCUACCCAGGCCUCCCGUGCUGCCCAGGACCCUCGUUCAGUUUGGCCCUGUGUGGCUGCCUCGGGCUACCCAGCUGCCUGCCAACCCCCAGUUGGCCCGCCGGUCCUCAGCGCCUGUAGCCCUCUGCCUCACUUCCUAUUAACACAAACCACGUGGGACCCUCGCGGUGGCGUCUGCAGGCAGGAGAGGAAGCCGUGGCCGCCUAGUGGCUGCUGGGAAGCCUGGCAGGAAGGGGCAUCUCCACCAGGCGUCUCCUGGGAGACAGCAAGCUCCCUGGAGAAGGGACAUUUGGAAAUAAAGCUCCUGCCGCGCGCUCUCUCUCUCUCUCU